rnacentral:rRNA from 1 species
UCUGCAACUCGACUCCAUGAAGCUGGAUUCGCUAGUAAUCGCGCAUCAGCCAUGGCGCGGUGAAUACGUUCCCGGGCCUUGUACACACCGCCCGUCACACCAUGAGAGUCUGUAACACCCAAAGCCGGUGGGAUAACCUUUUAGGAGGCAGCAGUCGAAGGUGGGGUUGAUGAUUGGGGUGAAGUCGUAACAAGGUAGC